UACAGAGGGUGCUAGCGUUGUUCGGAAUCAUUGGGCGUAAAGGGCGUGUAGGCGGUUUGUUAAGUCAUGUGUGAAAUCCCUCGGCUCAACCGGGGAACGACGCAUGAAACUGGCAAGCUAGAGUACCAAAGAGGGUGGUGGAAUUCCUGGUGUAGCAGUGAAAUGCGUAGAUAUCAGGAGGAACAUCGAUGGCGAAGGCGGCCCCCUGGACCAAUACUGACGCUGAGGUGCGAAAGCGUGGGGAGCAAACAGG
rnacentral:rRNA from 1 species